rnacentral:lncRNA from 1 species
GCGCCUCCGCAACAGUGUUACUAAAAUGUCGGAGAAAUACGAGCAUCUUCAUUGCAGGAAUGUUGAGCUGGAGCAUGACUAUCGUGUUCUAAAGCAAAAUUAGGAGAGGACUCACACCCAAGACGCCCAACAAGACCUCACCCAGAAUGUUGGGCAUACCCAGCCAAACCAGCCAAUACACUCUAGCCACAGUGCCCCGGCCCAAUCUAGGCUCUGCAAGGUAAAGGCCACCUUCAUCCGGAGCUAACCCAGUCACGACUCCUUUGCAUUCCCCCGCCGAAGGACCGGCCUCAUGAACUAGUCAGGAUCUAUAAAGAUUGCCGGGACCGCAUCUCAGACCGUCAACCGGAGCCGAUCCCCAUUCCUGUUAACCUCGAAGACCCAUGGGUGACACACCUGGGCCCUCCAUCAGAACCCACCCACUUACCCUACGAGGAGGGCGUAGGGGACUCG